rnacentral:rRNA from 1 species
CCUACGGGGGGCUGCAGUGGGGAAUAUUGCACAAUGGGCGAAAGCCUGAUGCAGCAACGCCGCGUGAGCGAUGAAGGCCCUCGGGGCGUAAAGCUCUGUCCUCAAGGAAGAUAAUGACGGUACCUGAGGAGGAAGCCCCGGCUAACUACGUGCCAGCAGCCGCGGUAAUACGUAGGGGGCUAGCGUUAUCCGGAUUUACUGGGGGAAAAGGGGGCGCAGGGGGCUUUUAAAGCCGGAGGUGAAAGGCGACGGCCCAACCGGGGUACGCCUUUGGAACUGGGAGGCUUGAGUGCAGGAGAGGAAAGUGGAAUUCCUGGUGUAGCGGUGAAAUGCGUAGAUAUUAGGAGGAACACCAGUGGCGAAGGCGGCCUGCUGGACUGUAACUGACGUUGAGGCACGAAAGCGUGGGGAGCAAACAGGAUUAGAUACCCUAGUAGUC